UCCGACGACGAGUCCACUCAAAACUUGAAACUUCCUGAACCUUCUUUUGGCCAUCCAUAUCUUCUGGAACAGGAACCACAUCCACAACGUUGUCGCAUAAUUCUCUCUCUUCGUUUGUGUCGAUGUUCGUUGCAGGUCAAGAGAAGCACAGCAGGCAGGAUUGUCGGUUCCGUAGUAUUAACCAUUCCAUUGUGAAACGAUCAGCAAAAAGAUAGCCUACAUGCGUGGAAUAACUGCAUAAUCGCCCUCAAAGAUCAAAUUCAAACGACUCUACCCUAUCAAAGGGUCAUGGGGUACGUUGGCCAGUUCAACACCAAAGAAACUUGGGAACUACGAUAAUGCGGAAGGAGAAACUGUCACAAAAGAGAAAACCGAACCAAUGGUCGCCUUCAGCAGGCCUCCGCCCCUUCCACCAGUUUUCGGCCCAUUGCUUCUUCUCUCGCUGCUAGAAACAUGGUCAAGUCGUGAUAGCAAUGAUGACUGACAGGUGAUUUAGCUGUCCUUGUAAUGCUUGGUAUUGCUUGGCUAAAAGACUUUGUAGAAAUAGAAUCGUCUAGUUGAAGAAAAACCUUCCAAUGUAAAGCAAAAUGUAGCAAGCGUCGCCAAGUAAUUGAGCUGCAGCGUUCCAAAGUCUUAAGUAGCUUUCUAAAUCACGCGAAGCUCCUCACUUGGUUCUCAAACUUUAAAAUUGCUUAAUAAUUGAUAUGAUCCAUAUGUUUUGAUAUGCA